CGGUCCAAACUCCUACGGGAGGCAGCAGUGAGGAAUAUUGGUCAAUGGACGAGAGUCUGAACCAGCCAAGUAGCGUGCAGGAUGACGGCCCUAUGGGUUGUAAACUGCUUUUAUAAGGGAAUAAAGUGAGUCUCGUGAGACUUUUUGCAUGUACCUUAUGAAUAAGGACCGGCUAAUUCCGUGCCAGCAGCCGCGGUAAUACGGAAGGUCCGGGCGUUAUCCGGAUUUAUUGGGUUUAAAGGGAGCGUAGGCCGUGAGGUAAGCGUGUUGUGAAAUGUAGGCGCCCAACGUCUGCACUGCAGCGCGAACUGCCCCACUUGAGUGCGCGCAACGCCGGCGGAACUCGUCGUGUAGCGGUGAAAUGCUUAGAUAUGACGAAGAACCCCGAUUGCGAAGGCAGCUGGCGGGAGCGUAACUGACGCUGAAGCUCGAAAGCGCGGGUAUCGAACAGGAUUAGAUACCCUGGUAGUCCGCGCGGUAAACGAUGGAUGCCCGCUGUGGCGCGCCUGGCGUGCCGCGGCUAAGCGAAAGCAUUAAGCAUCCCACCUGGGGAGUACGCCGGCAACGGUGAAACUCAAAGGAAUUGACGGGGGCCCGCACAAGCGGAGGAACAUGUGGUUUAAUUCGAUGAUACGCGAGGAACCUUACCCGGGCUUGAACUGCAGGAGAACGAUUCAGAGAUGAUGAGGUCCUUCGGGACUCCUGUGGAGGUGCUGCAUGGUUGUCGUCAGCUCGUGCCGUGAGGUGUCGGCUUAAGUGCCAUAACGAGCGCAACCCCUCUCCGUAGUUGCCAUCGGGUGAUGCCGGGCACUCUGCGGACACUGCCACCGUAAGGUGUGAGGAAGGUGGGGAUGACGUCAAAUCAGCACGGCCCUUACGUCCGGGGCCACACACGUGUUACAAUGGCCGUCACAGAGGGGAGCCGGGCGACCGGCUCAUGAUCCUUAAAAACGGUCUCAGUUCGGACUGGGGUCUGCAACCCGACCCCACGAAGCUGGAUUCGCUAGUAAUCGCGCAUCAGCCAUGGCGCGGUGAAUACGUUCCCGGGCCUUGUACACACCGCCCGUCAAGCCAUGAAAGCCGGGGGCGCCUGAAGUCCGUGACCGCAAGGAUCGGCCUAGGGCGAAACUGGUGAUUGGGGCUAAGUCGUAACAAGGUAGCCGUACCGGAAGGUGCGGCUG
rnacentral:rRNA from 1 species